GACGAACGCUGGCGGCGUGCUUAACACAUGCAAGUCGAACGGAAAGGCCCUGCUUUUGUGGGGUGCUCGAGUGGCGAACGGGUGAGUAACACGUGAGUAACCUGCCCUUGACUUUGGGAUAACUUCAGGAAACUGGGGCUAAUACCGGAUAGGAGCUCCUGCUGCAUGGUGGGGGUUGGAAAGUUUCGGCGGUUGGGGAUGGACUCGCGGCUUAUCAGCUUGUUGGUGGGGUAGUGGCUUACCAAGGCUUUGACGGGUAGCCGGCCUGAGAGGGUGACCGGCCACAUAGGGACUGAGAUACGGCCCAGACGCCUACGGGAGGCAGCAGUGGGGAAUAGUGCACAAUGGGCGGAAGCCUGAUGCAGCAACGCCGCGUGCGGGAUGACGGCCUUCGGGUUGUAAACCGCUUUCGCCUGUGACGAAGCGUGAGUGACGGUAAUGGGUAAAGAAGCACCGGCUAACUACGUG
rnacentral:rRNA from 1 species